GCAGAGUGGGACCAACAGACCAACAUGAGCGUUAGCAUUAGCAUUAGCUGCAGGGUGGAACCAACAGACCAACAUGAGCAUUAGCAUUAGCAUUAGCUGAAGAGUGGAACCAACAGACCAUCAUGAGCGUUAGCAUUAGCAUUAGCAUUAGCUGCAGGAUGGAACCAACAGACCAACAUGAGCGUUAGCAUUAGCAUUAGCUGCAUCAAGCUUUUUAAGCUCCUAUUAAGCCAGCCCAUCACAGACAGCCACAGACAGCCUCUCCCCCCGUUAGGACGUGGAGUGUGUGUGGGACUGUCACACUAGUGUAAACAACAACAUGUCUGAUCAAACACGAGUGUCACGCUAGUGUCAACAACAACAUGUCUGAUCAAACACGAGUGUCACGCUAGUGUCAACAACAACAUGUCUGAUCAAACACGAGUGUCACGCUAGUGUCAACAACAACAUGUCUGAUCAAACACGAGUGUCACGCUAGUGUCAACAACAACAUGUCUGAUCAAACACGCGUGUCACGCUAGUGUCAACAACAACAUGUCUGAUCAAACACGCGUGUCACGCCAUCCACAUGUCUGAUGAUCUCACUGCUAUCGCUAAGAGCCAGUGGCUGAUCUUCAUCAUCAUCAUCAUCUUCACCUCAUGAGUCCCUAGGCCUCAUCAUUAGAACCUUCCGGACAGAAGAACAACACAGGGCUGGGCAUUCUGCUGUCUCCAUGACUACAGACAGAGCAGGAGAACCGUGGUCCUCUCAGGAGCAACUGAAUGACAACACUGGAGAAUAUCUAAGGCAGUGGUUCUUAACCGUAUUGGAGGUACUGAACCCUGCAAGCUUCAUCAGUGCAUUCACCGAACCCUUCGUAAUUGGAAAAAAAAUAUAUGAUUUCUUCAAAACAUAGGUAUAUAUUCUAUUAGUGCACAAAAACAUAACUCAAUGAAUAUUUACUGCAAAUCAAUGUGACUUUUGCUGUUGCCUUUCAGAUACAAGUUCAGAAAUGCACAUUUUUACUAAUCUAACACGGUGAAGAAAAAUUGUGUGUUGCCAAAUUGUCGGCAGCCAAUUUUUUGACGGCCGACAAAAACGGCCCGACAUUGCUAGUGUGAACCGGGCUAUACUGUGUGUGUCUUGACCCCUGCCGAACCCCUGAGAGUGACUUAACGAACCCCUGGGGUUCGAUCGAACCCAGGUUAAGAACCACUGAUCUAAGGGAACAUUUAAAUGACUGAUUUCAAAUAUACACAACUACUCCACUGUCCACUACUCACACACAGUGUGUACACAAGGGUCUCAGUUUUGAGUGUUUUCUUGGGUUUCCCCUCAAAAUGCAGAAUGACCUUUGACAGAUAAACACAGCGAAGAGAGACCCAACGGCUCGUGAGGCUCGGCAACACUCACACACACUCACACACACUCACACACACACACACUCACACUCACACACACUCACACACACUCACACACACUCACACACACACACACACACACUCACACACACACACACUCACACUCACACACACUCACACACACACACUCACACUCACACUCACACACACUCACACACACUCACACACACUCACACUGAAAGGGCACUUCAGAAUGUAAGGCUUGUGACACAACUUAUAAGUUAUAAACUGGGAUGUCAACAUCCUCUGCUGAACAGUCCUGACACAUCUCCAUGACAACCCAUUAGUUAUGGGUCAACUCCGCCAAUCAGAUGGGGCUUGUGUGUGUGAGUAUAGGUGGGUGUGUAUGUCUGUGUGUGUGUGUGUGUGUGUGUGUGUGUGUGUGUGUGUGUGUGUGUGUGUGUGUGUGUGAGUAUGGGUGUGUGAAGACUGAAAAGUAUCAAAUUUAGAGGCGGAAAAAAGUCAGAGCUGCCGAUUGGUGAUUCCCUUCCGGGU
ensembl:lncRNA